rnacentral:lncRNA from 1 species
UACACAUCCCAAAUGUAGGAGUCUAGGGAUAAGCUAAACAGCCAAGACUGGAGCAGUCUCUCACCUUGACCAGAAGCAGUUUUCGCAAGUGAUGCUUUGAGAAGCACGUUCUCCUCUCUCAGGGCUCUGUUAAUGUUCCUGAGCGGUUCCGUCUCCUGCUCUAGCUUGAGCAGCUUCAGAUAAAGUUCUGGUAUCUGGUUUGAUGCUGCCUACCAGAAAACAUGUCAGUUUCGUCUUUUGUUGUAUCAUCUGCAUAUCCUUUGAGACUGGCAAUGUUUGCUACCAUGGGAAAAUCAAAUGGGAUGGGAGUGUGUGUAUGGUGAGCAGAGUUUAAGCCCCUCAGGGUACACAGGAGUAAAUAAAGAAAACGUUUGUUAAGGGGGAAGGAACGUCAAGCAGCCGUCCUCAGAGAUUUUCUAGCCACCUGGGAUGCCCACUUUAGUGUCCUAUGUACACACCUGGCUUAUAUCCUUCACAGUGGAAAUUUUCUUGGUGUCUACCAGGAUGUGGCCUUCACCUGUGACCAUGAGGCCCAGCUGAGAGCAGCUCAGCUCGGUGCAGCCUUCUGUAAUGGGGAGAGACACAGUCAAAGAAAGAAACAUCCCAGUCGCCCAGCUCCAGUGUCAGCUUCAUGCAGUAGGCCAGCGACUGGAGCCAGAUGUGAGCUGAGCCCAAGCGGACGACCUCGACAGGAUCCCAGAAAGGGUCGUCAUCUCGAGCCACAGGGCCGUGAUCUCCAUCUAGAAAGCGCUGGUAAAGUUCCUGCAUUAGGAAUUUCCUAUUGAUGAACUUGGCUUUUGACCAUAUCCACACCUGGAAACACAGAGGGGUCCACACCCAGUGCACAGCAGAUCCAGGACAACAGCCUGCCGCUGUCUUCCUCCUCACUGGGUGAGGACAGGGCCUCUGUCAGCACUGGCUCUGGAGAGGAAACAAACCUGAAGCCACAGGAGGAGGGAUUCCAGAGGGAUUCCAGGAAAGCAGAGAGACACAGUGUGAAAUCGCUGCUCUCAGAUCAGCACACGGGAGAGGCCAGCAGUCAGGAGGGGGCUCACCGAGUUUGUCUGCACUCGCUCCCUCCGCAGCCGCCCUCUCCAGCUGGAAGAAGUCGUAAUCGAACCUGCUCAGGUCCUCACUGCCCCACUCCGAAGGAAACCCCACGUACAGGUGAGGUCAGAGGAGUGAAGUGACUUGCCCAAGACCACACAGUGAGUCAGGAGCAGGCCUGUCCCUCCAGCAGUGGUGCCAUGUUGUCCCCAAGCCAUGGUGGCAGAGGAGCUGGUGUGAACGCCCCAUCCUGCCACGUCUGUGAUGUGGGCACCUCACAUGACUGUCCCCUCCCAGCUCUUGGGGGGGACCUAGGACAUUCUGUGAGCCUGCAGGAAAGUUUACCAAAUGCUGCAGCUUUGUCCUGGUGGUGAUGGGCACCCCGUUAACGGCAACCUUGCAUUUGCUAUGUGGAGUGACCGUCACUUUACCGUCGGCAUUUGUGAAGGAAGCGUGUUUAUCUGAAAUUCUAAGAAGAUGAGAGUCAAAGACACCCAGCAAACGGCGGUUUCCGUGAGCAGGUAGGCUGACCUUUCUCAUGUGCACAGGAGGGAAGGUCUACAGCUGCGGAGGAUGGCAGGUGGCAUCUCGGGGCCUCCUGUGUGCUGUGGCCCAUGAUGCAUGGGGACAGCAGCGGGCGCAGAAGGACCCUGCCCUUGGGGAGCACGGGGAGCUGGGAGACAGCAGGCAAGGGCUUCAUUAACAGAACGAACACCAGCUGAGGGCCUAGCACUGCGGGGAGCCGGCCAAGGCCACACUGGAGUCCUCCCGCUCCCAGGCCAGCGGGAUGGGGUGGUGGGAAGAUGGCAGCAAGCAAGCUUCAGAAGAGACGCUCAGGAGGCGACUCUUAACGAGCCUCACCUACUCCGGGGUUGGAGCCCAGGAAGCAAACCAGCACUGCACCCUAGAUUUCAGCCAGAGGACGAAAGCCCUGCCCUCAGCUUUCUCAGACCAGCCCUGGAGUAGGUGGCCCGGGGAGACCUGGGCAGUGUCCCUGCUUGUCCUGCAGACUGUGUGGCUCUGCAGACCUCUAGAUGGAGGAGGCACAAUUCUCUAAUGCUGGACGAGGACACUGAUCAUGGAAACUCACCCCAAACCUUGAAUCGUGAUAGCAUUUGAGGCAGCCUGACCGGUGCCACAUGAACCUGAAAGGAAUCAAGAUAUAAUUUAUUUUGAAAAUAAAUCAGACACUUUCAGAAUUUGAGCGUAAGAAGUUAACAUGUCUGAUGCGUUGGAAGUGACGUUUUCUCUACAGUGGGAUGGUACUGAAGGGAUUU